rnacentral:lncRNA from 1 species
GGCCGCUCUUGCGGCAUAUGGAGGUUCCCAGGCUAGGGGUCUAAUCGGAGCUGUUGCUGCCAGCCUACGCCACAGCCACAGCAACUUGGGAUCCGAGCCACGUCUGCGACCUACACCACAGCUCACGGCAACACCGGAUCCUUAACCCACUGAGCAAGGCCAGGGAUCGAACCCUCAACCUCAUGGUUCCUAGUCAGAUUCCUUAACAUCUGUGCCACGACGGGAACUCCAACAUAGUGUUAUUCAUUUUUAAAGUGGGGUCGUAUUCCACACUCUUAGGCCUUUGGGAAAUAGCCUGGCCUUUGUCUGUACCAAAUUUCUUUCCUCACCCAAAGAGCUUCUAGAACUCUGCUCUACUGUAAAUGGAGGAAGUGGCGAGGGAUGGCCUUCUGUGCUUUGAUAAAGACCAAGUGGUUGACAGCACUUCUUGGCUCCUAGUCUCUGGAUUCUGGCCUAGGUAAGAUUCUAGGAUGUGCUGUUGGCCCUUUAGGGGUUGUUGACCUAUUUGGGUUGUUCACUGGCUUCCCCGCCUCCACCAGAGAAACGCUUCCAGGGAAAGAAGUGCCAGAGCCAUGAGAAACUUUUUUUCCUUGAUGGCGAUGAGGUAACGUUACCAGUGGAUGAAAUCCUCUCUUCUCAGAACUAGACAGAACUUAGUACUUGCAGUCCGCAGUAAUUAGCAUCAAGGCAGACCCAUCCUGAAGCUUUUCUUAGGAUCUGUAACUCCUUGCCAUUUUUUUUUUACAGUGUUGGAAAAUUGUGACUUUGGUACUGGCCAUCAGUGAAUCUUAUUGAUGACUAUAUACAUAUAAUAGACUGUGACUUGACAAAGCAAUGAAACAUCAGGAACACAAAUUUAUGAAAUUAUAUACCAUAUGUAUGUAUAUAGGCGCUGAUAAAAACCCAAACCAAAAAAACUGUACUUCAUCUUCUCCCUGCACACUUGUGAUGAGCACCUGUUCUUUGGCCCUGGAUGCAAGAGGGUGAAGUCAGCCUCAUCAUUCCUUGGUGAUCCAAGACCGGCAGAGUCUCUCCAGUAAGAAGUGGAAAACACGCAGGCUCCCAGAAUUAAUAACAGUCCAUAGUAGCAUGUGUGUCUCUGAUUGCUGGGGAAGGUAAAUCUGGUGUGGAAUGCCCAGUUUCCAUCAGCUUUUGGGAAUCUGUGAAGCCUUUGUGUAACUAACUAUGUUGCCAGAGGCAAGGGGGUCAGAUUAAAGAGAGGCUGGCAGAUGAGAGCUGCAGCAGCAGACCUUUGUGGCAAGGGUGCCCAGUGUCUUGUCUGGUGUAUUCCAGAGCCAUGGCUGGUCUUCCAUUUGUUUUUUCUUUAAAACUUUAUUUCUAAGUUAUUUAUAUAUCUGAGUUAUAUAUUACAUAUGUAAAUGUUCAGGAACUACUUAGUGAGGCUUCAUUCAGGCAGGCCUUGAUUAAAGCAGAAUAGCAACUUCCAUAGGAAGUGAACUUCCACAGGAAGUGCACCUUUUAGUCUGCAAGCCCCCCGCCCAGGACCCACUAGGUUGUCUCAGUCCUGUGGCAACAGACCUUUCACAUGUUCGCCAUUAAAGGUUUAAUUAAAUAUCUCAAUAGAAAUCAUUUGAGGCAAAUAAGAGUGGGAAUAGGAAAUUGAAACCUAAGGAGAAAUUUUUCCACUCCUUUUGCCUAAUUCAUGCUUCCUUAUUUAGGUACAGUCUGUACCAUUUCAGACAAAAAUAUAGUAACUUGAAAUAUUUGUGUUUAAAGAAAUUUAAGUAGUCUAUCUUUAAAUUAUUUACCUAAGUAAAAAUAUUUUUGUUGAAUCCACCCCAUUUCCAAUAUACCGUACUGAGCUCCAGGUAUUCAGACAUUAAUGAUGGGAUUUCUCUUUUCAAGAAUCUGAUGGUUUACAGGUUGGUGUUUCAGUUAGAAGAGUGAUAUUCUAGAAUAAAAUUUAGAACAAAAAAUUGAAUUCAAAGUAAGUGUGUGUGUAUGAUGGAAUCUCUGAAUUUAAGGAACUCUUUUCCUUAAUAGUGCUUUGUUUUUACAGUGUGGUUUCUUUGUGUUCUUUGCAUUAGUACCAUGGCUUUCUUUUUCUCCCCAGAUUUAUUGAGAUAUAAUUGACAGAUAACAUUGUGUGUGUUUAAGGUAUACAAUGUGACGAUAUACAUUUAAUACACAUGUAUAUUGUGAAAUGAUUAUGACAGUAAGGUCGAUUAACGUCUAUCACCUCACAGGUUACUAUUUAUUUAUUUGUUUUUGAAGUGAGAUGGUAUUUAUUUCUGAGAUUUAAAUUGGUCAACUCUAUUUCUGAUGCCUAGCCUUAUUUCAAACUUAUUUCAAAAUUUUUUUAAUUGAAGCAUAGUUAGUUUAUUUUUUCAAAGACUAGAACUUUGUUUUAUUCUUUUAAAAAUUUUAAAAUGAUGUUUAUUUUUUCCAUUAUAGUUGGUUUACAGUGUUCUGUCAAUUUUCUACUGUACAGCAAAGUGACUGAGUCACACAUACACACAUACAUUGUUUUUCUCACAUUAUCCUCCCUCAUGCUCCAUUGCAACUGACUAGAUAUAGUUCCCAGUGCUCUACAGCAGGAUCUCAUUGCUUAUACAUUCCAAAGGCAAUAGUUUGCAUUUAUUAACCCCAGAUUCCCAGACACCCAACACACUACCCCUCCUUGGCAACCAUAAGUCUGUUCUCCAAUCCAUGAGUUUUUUUUUUUUUAUGUGGAAAGGUUUAUUUAUGGUGUAUAUUAGAUUCCAGAUAUGUGAUAUCAUUGGUAUUUAUCUUUCUCUUUAUGACUUACUUCACUUAGUAUUAGAGUCUCUAGUUCCAUUCAUAUUGCUGUAAAUGGCAUUAUUUUGUUCUUUUUUAUGUCUGACUAGUAUUCCAUUGUGUUUAUAUACCACAUCUUCUUAAUUCAUUCCUCUGUCAAGGGACAUUUAGGUCGUUUCCAUGCCGUGGCUAUUGUGAAUAGUGCUGCAGUGAACAUAUGGGUGUAUGUGUCUUUUUCAAGGAAAGUUUUGUUCAGAUAUAUGCCCAGGAGUGGGAUGGCUGGGCCAUAUGGCAGUUUCUAUGUAUAGAUUUCUAAGGUACCUCCAUACCGUUCUCCAUAGGGGUUGUACCAGCUUAUAUUCCCACCAGCAGUGCAGGAGGGUUCCCUUUUCUCCACACCCCCUCCAGCAUUUGUUAUUUGUGGACAUGUUAAUGAUGGCCAUUGUGACUGGUGUGAGUGGUAUCUCAUAGUAGUUUUGAUUUGCAUUUCUCUAACAAUCAGUGAUGCUGAGCAUUUUUUUCAUGUGCUUGUUGGCCAUUGUAUGUCUUCUUUGGAGAAAUGUCUAUUCAGGUCUUUUGCCUCUUUUUCAACUUGGUUGUUGGUUUUUUGCUGUUGAGUUGUAUAAGUUGUUUGUAUAUUUUAGAGAUGAAGCCCUUUCCAGUUGAAUCGUUUGAAACUAUUUUCUCCCAUUCUGUCGUUGUCUUUUUGCUCUGUUUUAUGGUUCCUUUGCUGUGCAAAAGCUUGUCAGUUUGAUUGGGGCCUUUUGGUUUAUUUUUGCUUUAAUUUCUGUUGCCUUGGGAGCCUGACCUAAGAGAAUAUAGUUAAUUUAUAAUGCUCUCAGUUUCAAAUGUACAGCAAAGUGAUUCAGUUAUACAUGUAUAUGCAUAUUUUUUCAGAUUCUUUCCCAUUAUAGGUUAUUAUAAGAUAUUGGAGUAUAGUCCCCUGUGCUAUACAAUUGGUCCUUGUUGUUUACCUGUUUUAAUACUGUAAUGUAUAUAUGUUAAUGCUAAUUUUUCCUGCUCCACCCCCACCGCUAUCCCCCUUGGUAACCAUUUGUACCAUUUUUAGAUUCCACAAAUAAGUGAUAUUAUAUAUUUGUCUUUCUCUGUUUGACUUUACUUAAUAUGAUAAUCUCUAGGUUUACCCAUGUUGCUGCAAAUUGCAUUAUUCCAUUUUUAUGGCUGAGUAAUAUUCCAUUGUGUAUAUAUACCACAUCCUCUUUAUCCAUUCAUCUGUCAGUGGACAUUGAGGUUGCUUCCAUGUCUUGGCUAUUGUAAAUAGUGCUGCUGAACAUUGGGGUGCAUGUAUCUUUUCGAAUUAGAGUUUUCUCUAAUUGGGGUGCAUGUAUCUUUUCAAAUUAGAGUUUUCUCCAAUAUCUCACAACUUUGAAAAAUCUUUCUUUUUUAUGGCCACACCCAUGGCAAAUGGAUAUAAAAGUUCUUGGGCCAGGGAUUGAAUUGAUGGACUCUUUCAACCCACUGUGCUGGGCUGGGGAUCAAACCCACACCUUCUCGGCGACCCAAGCUGCCGCAACAGAAACUCCAAAAUCUUUUCUGAUAUUUAUUGUACCCUUUAGUCUAUUGUCAGAGCCAGAUGGUCUGCAUCUUGCAAUGCUAGGGUGAUAUCGUAGCUAGAAAUUCAUUCUCUGUUCUGGCUUUCAUGAGAUACCAAAUACCAAGCUGUCGCAAUUAGUAUAUGUGAUUUCUCAGAGGGAUCAUAUCUAGCAGUGGAAUAUCAAACCUGAUCAUUUUCUUGAAUUAAACAAGAAAAUAUCCCCGAGUUGUUGAACUUGGAAGAAAAAUAUUCUGUCUUUUUCUUCUGGCCCAGAUCUCUAAAAAGCUGUGCUCAUUAUUACCAGGAAGUUGCUGUGUACAGCAAACAGUCACAGGAGAUUUUUUGCUCAGAGCCAGAAAGUACCCUCUGUUCAGAGCCUGCAUUUUCAACUCAAGCAAGCACCAUCUGAGCUUUGAAAUCCCUGUUUUCAAAUUCUGUGGCUCUCUGGUUUCUCUGAUUUCUCCAGAUUCAUGUCGAAUCGCCCAGAGAUCUUCUCUGAGCGCCUUUUAAGAAAGUAAAUCAUUACAUUGUUAGAACUAUCAUCCAAGUCUGUGACCUGCCAUCUCAGCUCCACAUCCAUGGCGUUUUCAGCUCCCUCCUAAGAGCAGCACUUAAAUACAGGCUCCACGUGGAUGAUGUUUAAAAAGUGGACGAGGAUCUUCCUAUGCCCUUUUCUCUUCAAGACUGGGGCAGGUCAGCUGUUCUGAUGCUCUAUUCAUGGCAGCUCAUAUGCGGGCUUUUUCAAAAUGGUUCACGGUGUUGGUAUUACCGGCGUUAAUCUGCACCGUGAGACAAAACAUUUCACAGGCGGGUAAGUCGUUUUGGUGAAAAUGGAUGCUUGUUAACAGUCCUGCACAUUGUGCGGAGGGAAAAAUUGUCCCCAGAAAGAGUAUUAUUUCUGCUACAGGAAAGCCAGGUAACUGCUCAGUGCGAAUUUCUACUCCAACCUAAAGUAGUUUUACUGGGUCCUCCUGGGCAGCCUUCUGCUGAACUUCUUAGUUCAUUGAUUGACACAUGGCUCUUUAGUGCGUUGGGAGCAAAGGCCCCUUUCUGCCUUUGGAGGGUGGCAGACUCUUCAGCCUGCCCUCUGGGUUCCUGAUCUAGGUUCUUGGAGGUGUUGCCCACAAAAAGCCCUCUCUCCAUCUCUCCCUGGCACCAGACAUGGGAAUCUUCUUGGACUCAGGUGCCCAUUUGGUCAUGGAGCGGCGGGACAGCAGGGUUAGUCUUCAGUUCUGAGUCCGGAGGCUGCGAGGUGCCGUUUUGCCUGCUGUAAUGGAUUAAUACGCUGCUCUUUAUUUUUCUGUUCUCUGCUUCUGUUUUUAUGUCUGCUUCUCCACUUUUCUUUGCCGUUUGGAAUCCAAGCUGAUCCACGUUGAUAAGAGCCUUGCUCUGUAUCCAAGCAUUUUUCCUCCAGACUGAUUCUAUUCUGCUACUUCGAGAAACAUGUUAGGAAGGCUCCUGGGUUUGGGGACUUUCACUCCUUGAGCGAUGGGCUAGAGGCUUGGUUGAGGUUAAACAUGUUUGGCAAGAAUACUUCCCUGGUGAUUCUGAUAGGGAUGGAGUAGGAGAGUUACACAGAUAUUUGUAGAAGUCCCAGUCAGGGGACCCUAGAUAGAGAGGCAAACCCAGGGAACUUUGGGAGACCACUUUAAGUUAAUAAUUGCUCAAGAAAGCCGUCUUGGGGAGUUCCCCUUCUGGCUCAGUGGGUUACCGUCCCCGCAUCCAUGAGGAUUCGGGUUCGAUCCCUGGUCUUGCUCAGGGGGAUGAGGAUCUGGCAUUGCCGUGAGCUAUGGUGUAGGUCCCAGGCUCAGCUCCGGUCCUGCGUGGCUGUGGCUGUGGUCAGCAGCUGCAGCUCCGAUUCAGUCUCUAGCCUGGGAACUUCCAGAGGCUGCAGGUGA